CAAUCCUAAUUUAACUAUUAAAUCUCUCCCCAGUAAAUUGGUCCCUGCUUCUGGCACAUAUAACAAUUGUCCCGUGACUAUUUUAAUUCAGGAAUCUCAAAAAGUCCAACUGCAAUACCUCAUUCCUUUCUCAAACUGGUGAAACUUUCUCUUUUCAGCAUCAGCACUAAUUGCAGAGCUCAGUCUAGGUGGGCUGUUAAGGGGAUAAUGAGAGCCAGCACCCCCCAUUCUAUCAGCUAUCCCCAGCCUCUCUCCCAUAGUCACAGGGAGACUGGAAGCCAGUUUGCUAAGAUGGGGGGGAAGGGAAACACCGUUCCUAGAUGCCAGAAUGCUGAAAUAGGUGUGGGGGAAACAUCAUUUCAUAGAGUAAAGUGAUUAAGUUUAAUCCUAAGAAAAGGUAGAGAAAAUAAACAGCUUCAAGUAUUCCAUAUGAGGUUUCUCUGUUUUUCUUAACCUACAGAAUUCUGUCUAGCCUUGAUUAACUGCUGUGCUCUCUAAAUCCAACAAGCAGCACAUGCCCACUCCUCCUCAAAAACAAAACAAAAUAAAGCACUUGUAUUGUUUAUGUGCACAUCUUAAGCCUGAUAAUGUCAGGCAGGCCUGGGACUGUUUAACAGCUAGUUUUGCUUGCUAGAAUACCUCUUGUUCCAUUCUCCCCCAGUCUUAUUUUAUGCCUCUGUAUUUGUAUUAACUGUGUUAGUCAAUAGAAGGACUUCAGCAUGCUGUGCUAAGCUGGUUAUAAAGGAAUGCCAGUACCCCAACAAACUCCCAGAUACUUGUAGCCUGCUUGGCACAGUAAGAAUAUGGAAUACCUGAACUUUACCUAACACAACACAGUCCUAUUUCCAGAGAACCUGAGAUUCCCAGAUCCUCAAGGGAGAUGUGAGUAUGGUCCACCUUCUUUUAGAUAUUAGAUUGAAUUUAACCAGUGGAAACCCUGGAACUUAAGUUAGCCUUCUUCCCUUCUAAUGACACAGGUGUCAAGUUGCAAGAACAAGUUUGGUUUAGAAGUGGAGCAAGGUAACCUAUAAAACAUGUUAUUUUAGGAUCCUGUUGCCAAACUCGGGCUUUUACAGGUUCUUCUUUUUCUUUUAAUUCUCCCUCAUAGAAUUAGUAUCAGUUAAUAGUGACUAGCAAAGGCCAUGCCACAGCAGAUGCUGCUGCUACUCUUCCUUUACUUUGGAAAAAUUGUUGUCCUAUUUUACUGAUAAAAUCAGCUAUUUCUGAAGGGGAUUCAAUACUGAGACCAUUGCCCCUUAUAGGCCCCCCUUCUUUGAAUAACUGCACACUAUUUACCAAUAGAGAACCCAGGAACCCUGAGGCUUCCCCCAGGAUUUUCUCUUAAGGUGCAUCUGGAGUCACAGUUACCAAGCAACACAAAGUUCUUCCAAGAAAUCCAUCUUAAAAAAAAA